AAACUUUACAAUGCGAGCAAUCGCGACGGGGGGACCCCAAGUGCCACUCUUAACGGGGUGGCUUUUCUUAAGUGUAAAAAGCUUUUGGAAUAAGGGCUGGGCAAGACCGGUGCCAGCCGCCGCGGUAACACCGGCAGCUCUAGUGGUAGCCAUUUUUAUUGGGCCUAAAGCGUUCGUAGCCGGUUUGAUAAGUCUCUGGUGAAAUCCUAUAGCUUAACUGUGGGACUUGCUGGAGAUACUAUUAGACUUGAGGUCGGGAGAGGUUAGCGGUACUCCCAGGGUAGGGGUGAAAUCCUGUAAUCCUGGGAGGACCACCUGUGGCGAAGGCGGCUAACUGGAACGAACCUGACGGUGAGGGACGAAAGCCAGGGGCGCGAACCGGAUUAGAUACCCGGGUAGUCCUGGCCGUAAACGAUGUGGACUUGGUGUUGGAAUGGCUUCGAGCUGCUCCAGUGCCGAAGGGAAGCUGUUAAGUCCACCGCCUGGGAAGUACGGCCGCAAGACUGAAACUUAA
rnacentral:rRNA from 1 species